rnacentral:rRNA from 1 species
UUCCCGAUUUAUCGGGACAAAGUGACAGGUGCUGCAUGGCUGUCGUCAGCUCGUGUCGUGAGAUGUUGGGUUAAGUCCCGCAACGAGCGCAACCCUUGUCUUUAGUUGCCAAUAUUAAGUUAGGCACUCUAAUGAUACUGCCCCGGUUAACGGGGAGGAAGGUGGGGAUGACGUCAAGUCCUCAUGGCCUUUAUACCCAGGGCUACACACGUGCUACAAUGGGCUAUACAAAGGGCUGCCACUCUGCAAAGAGGAGCUAAUCCCAAAAAGUAGUCCUAAGUUCGGAUUGGAGUCUGCAACUCGACUCCAUGAAGCUGGAAUCGCUAGUAAUCACGGGGACAACA